ACCACCUGUUGAGGUCAGGUGAGCCAACAGGUGUCACACACAGCUGGUAGCAGUACAGAGGUCAGGCGAGCCAACAGGUGUCUCACACAGCUGGUCAGGGGAGCCAACAGGUGUCUCACACAGCUGGUCAGGGGAGCCAACAGGUGUCUCACACAGCUGGUAGCAGAGGUCAGGCGAGCCAACAGGUGGUACACACAGCUGGUAGUACUGUCGAGGUCAGGCGAGC